GGGCGACUCUAAGGAGACUGCCGGUGACAAACCGGAGGAAAGGUGGGGAUGACGUCAAGUCAUCAUGGCCCUUACGGCCUGGGCUACACACGUGCUACAAUGGUCGGUACAAAGGGUUGCCAAGCCGCGAGGUGGAGCUAAUCCCAUAAAACCGAUCGUAGUCCGGAUCGCAGUCUGCAACUCGACUGCGUGAAGUCGGAAUCGCUAGUAAUCGUGAAUCAGAAUGUCACGGUGAAUACGUUCCCGGGCCUU
rnacentral:rRNA from 1 species